CACUAUGAACAUGAUCAUUCCUAAAGAAUGGUCUUUUGAUAAGGAUCUCCAAAUCCAGGGACUCCCUCAAACCCAAAAAAUGAAAAAUGACGGGGACAGAAUGAUCGGCGAGUACCCUUCUUCUAUUUGACUGGCCAACAUUCCUAUUGUGAAACAAGAUUUUGGCUAGAAAAUAUGCAAGUGUUGGCUCGUCUAGACGUGGAGAGGGUAACCUUCAGUAAAUCUGGGUAUACUUUUACUUAUAUAUAUCCUUUCACCCUCAGGCUCGGGCACGAAAUUCAUCCAGUCAUCCUUGACUUUUGCUGGAGUUACCAAGUCUGCUUAGCUUAAGUAGGUCCGGUAGUAUGACGUAUGGCAGCUUGCCUACAGUAUCUAACCUCUUGGGCACAAAAAAAGUCUCUCCCUUGCACACCUAAUCCAUCUACUCUCCCAAGAUCAUCCGAGGAGGCAUGAUCAAACUCAUCAGGCGUGGUCAUAAUGCCAUUAUCACCAGUUUGGGUUAUGACAAUGACCGUGAUUGGAUGGAAAAGUUUGUUGCCUUCACUUCCAAGGACAUCAUACCCUCGUCAGGACCUUCAAUUCUCGAUACAUGGAACUAUACUCGUUCGUUCUCUUAUAUGCAUGUUUUUUUGGCCUUCCAAGGGAUCAUCUGUUUGCUCGGUCGUCGAGAUUUCAUUUGACCCAAAGGUGACUCAACAACAACUUAAAAAGUCAUUGACCAAAAAGGGGCUCGUGAAGCGGAAUCUUCUUCCUGUGGAGCUGUAUCAUCCGCCAGUCCCCGACCUCAAGAGAAGAGGGCUAGAAGAAAGCUCUCUUCCAAAGUUAGGGAAAAAACAUAGCCUCCUGUCUCGGAGGCGAUCCCUGCAGGGCUGAAUACAGUGGUCCUUAACGAAAAAGAAACCGAAGAUGAUGUUGAAGCAGCGUCUCUUCAAAGAAAAAGAAAAAAAGAACCCAAACAGUCCAUCCAGAGGAGACAGAGAGACUAUUUCAAGAUUUUGAUAUAGCUGAAAUUGUCAACUCUACCUUUGGGGUUCCCGUUGCUAGUAGCGGUCAAAGAAAUGAUACUUCAAGUGUUGUCCCAACCUCUUCUCUAACAACAUUCACUUGUAGAUCGAGGCAAGGCCAAUAUUCUUACUUUUGAGGGUCUCCCAAAGGAUGUUUUUGGAGAAGCAAGAAUUUCAAUAUGAGCGUGAUCGACUUGCUGAGCUUAGAGGGCAAAUUUUCCCAAAUGGAAGAGCUUGAGGUCUUGUUGGAGCAAAUGGAGAAACAAAAAAAUAGCUCACAGCCAAGAAGUCACACAACUUCAUGAUGAACUUGCCAAGCUGAAGGGAAAGUGGACGGAGCUACAAGAUGCUCUUACUUCGGCUGCUGAAUGGGAGUCAGCUUCCAUGGAAAAGAUCUGGGCCUUGGAAACAGACUUGCAUUCUAAGACCGAGGAAUCUACCGCAGCCAAAGGAAAAAAGGGCCAAAAUAGAGAAAAGGCUCUAAAAGGUCAUGGAACAAAAUUGGGAGCAUGCAAAGACUAAUACUGACCUGGCGGAGACCUAUAGGAUUUUGAAGGUCGAAAAUGAGUGACAUAAUAAGCAAUCCAGAGCUCCGAGCAAGAUUCUGAGCUCAAGAGGAGUCCUUUGUGCUUGAAGACUCAUGUUGUCUAUAGAAUGUGAAGAAAAUCUUUGGAGGACGUCAAAAUCGGCAUUGAGAACAUAGAGAACUGCAUUACCGAGGCUCGUACCCUAGAAAUAAUCUCCUUCGAUAAUAUGCCUGCCCGGCCUUCUAUUUUAAGUUCCACAUGAACCAGCUCUGAAUCUUAUGAACUUGAAGAUGAAGAUGAAGAUGAAGGUGUAGAGCUUGAGCAUGAUGAUGAAGGAAUACAUGAGCAAGCCUUAGAUCCAUCAACUCCAGACAAAGACUCAAGACCUUUUGCUCCGAAAAGUGUGAUUCCAGAAAAUGCUCCAACCUUUGAGGCCUCCAAGACCUCGGCUUCUUAUAAUCUAGCAGAUUAAUUUACCUUAUAAAGAUAUUUUGGUUUUUUGUUUUUUCCGAACUCUUGUACCCUCUCUGGGCUCUA